rnacentral:rRNA from 1 species
GAUGAACGCUAGCUACAGGCUUAACACAUGCAAGUCGCGGGGCAGCAUGGGGGUUGCUUGCAACUCCCGAUGGCGACCGGCGCACGGGUGAGUAACGCGUAUCCAGCCUGCCCUUCACCACGGGAUAACCCGGCGAAAGUAGGACUAAUACCGUAUGGUGUCCAUUGACGGCAUCCGAUAUGGACGAAAGGCGUUGCGGUGAAGGAUGGGGAUGCGUCCGAUUAGCCAGACGGCGGGGUAACGGCCCACCGUGGCUACGAUCGGUAGGGGUUCUGAGAGGAAGGUCCCCCACACUGGAACUGAGACACGGUCCAGACUCCUACGGGAGGCAGCAGUGAGGAAUAUUGGUCAAUGGGCGUAAGCCUGAACCAGCCAAGUAGCGUGCAGGAUGACGGCCCUAUGGGUGGUAAACUGCUUUUAUGCGGGGAUAAAGUGGCCCACGUGUGGGCUUUUGCAGGUACCGCAUGAAUAAGGACCGGCUAAUUCCGUG